rnacentral:lncRNA from 1 species
CUCGAGCAUUUAUCUUGCAGAUCAUCUUCUAGCUAUGCAUAUGCUGGAUGGUUAGUUUCAGGUACUGUUAGCAGGCUCUGGAGGAUUACCUAUGGGCGUUAUUGGAACUGAGGUAAAUAGGUUUCCAUCUUAUUAGGUUCAGCUCAAAUCACAUCUUUUUAGUUUCAUGGACAUAGACCUGCCAACCUUUUGAAUUGUCAUAUUAAUUCUGCUUGGCACUGCUGGAACUCAAGUAAAUACUUAGUGAGUGUCCUGGACAUAGAGCUGACAGCCUUUUGAGUUGCCAUAUUAAUUCUGCUUGAGAAGCCUAUAGAGAAUUGUUUUCAGACAAUUCAAUUCCAAGGAUUGAUUUUAUUGGAAGGGUUGUGCUGUAGGCCACCAGAGAAUAACUGCUCCUUAUGCUUCUUGUUUUAUAAAUAUAGGCAAUGGAAACUUAUAGGAAGUGAAUUUAUAUGUUGUUGUGCCUACAACGAAGAUUUAUCUGUAAAACUAUGACUUUGCCAUGCUAUAAUUUGAAGUGUGUUUUUUAAAACAAAUCUCUAAUGUUUCAGGUUGCCAAAGAGGCAUCUGCAAUUGAUGAAGAAAGAUCUAUUUACAACAGCAUCAAAGCUUUCAUAAGGUUUGUGCUCUGAGCGCUUGUUUUAAUUAUCCUUCACACUUUGUAGCUAUCUGAACAUACACGUUCUCAUUAAAAUAUAAAGGUCUUCAAAUGUUCUUUUCGUAGCAAUUUUGCAAUGUUCAUGAUAUUUGAUUGGAUUCUGGUAGCUACAAUUCGCUAAUUAGUUUUGCCUAUUAUUGGAGAUUUUUAUGUUCAGUUAAACUUCCUGCUCAUCGAGUUAACUGCUGAGAUAAAAAAAACAUGGUGUCGGAUCUUCUUUGCCCCAAUUCACUGUCUAUUUUGAUAGCUACAUUCGCUAAUUAGUUUUGCCUAUUAUUGGAGAUUUUCUGUUUAAUUAAACUUCCUGCUCAUCAAGUUAGCUGGAGCUCAAAACCAUAGUGUCGGGUAAGAUAGCCGGGAUUGGACCACUUUGUCUUCAUCCCUCAGUCUAACCCAUUUUAUGUACACACCAUUCAUUUGGAUUGCAUGAUUCUGUUGGGAAGAAAACAUGGCAAAUCAUUCAUGAACUUCAUGCCUUACAUUUCAGGUUUGGGAAUCGCUGGUUCAUCAGGCAAGAGCAAACAACAUUGACAAUCUUUGCAGAUACAAUUCGGUUAGCAUCCCUUCAUAGCACAGCUUUUUAAGUAACUGUUUCUGCAGUCCGUAUACUUGAGUUGGUUUUCAAGUGAAUGUGGAUGUGGUCUGUAGCCCUGACCUGUUUCCUAUGAUAAAAUGUAGUAAAUGGAGAGCACACAAAAAAAGGUGCCUGAAAUUUUUUCCCUCCCUUCGGCUAAAAGUUUCUUCCUAGAAUAAAUGGCAAGUAUGUUUCCUUUUCUUUUCAGAGCUACUGUGAAAUAUUGAGUUACAAGUGAUGUUUCAUUCUUUAUUACUAAGCUUGUAGACUGCUUCCUAAGAAUGAUCCCCACCAGAGAGAAAAAGGCAGAUCAAUAAUCUAACAAUGGCUGGGAAAAGCUUGAUUACAUGACCAGGUUGUGGAUACUAAUAGAAUAAUGCAAAAAAAAUUCCAGCUUUUUUUUCAUUUGAUUAGUGACAUAAUCUAAUGAGGACGGAUGUACUAAAACCGUCUUCAGAUUUUGCAGGCUUUUAGAGGAAAUUGAAGUUGUAGAGAUAAAGUACAUACUCCGUAAGGAUGAGUACAGAAAUUGGUGCUCUUGUUAUAGUCUCGAUAGAUUUCAGGUUUGUUAUAGCCUCUUCUUUGGUACAUAGUUAUAGUUCUAGAAUUGGUGCUCUUGCCAUUUCCUGAAUAGGUUUCAGGUUUUACAUGUUCUCCAAAUUUUGGUUCCGCAAUAUAUAUUUGACCGUGACUCAUGGACACAAAAGAAAGAAUACAAGAUGUCAUUUUGGGACUGCCGUCAACACUCUUACGGUGUAACUGGUCAGCACAACACGCCAAAGAAGCGGUUGACUGAGCCAGCCCGGGUUCGAAUCAUGACAUCAUCUUCUUAAGACGAAAAUCACCCCCUGGUCGAGUUUUUUUUAGUUUUUUUUUUUUGGACUGCCAAAGUGUUCAGUGAGUAAAUUUUUCUUUCAGCUAUUGUGACAGGGCACUCCUGCACUUGUGCAGGCAGUGUUGUUUGCUGCUGCUGCUCCAUCUAGCAUAUGU